rnacentral:pre_miRNA from 1 species
AGGAGGAACAACCCCAAUGGCGGGGCCAGCUCUGGAGUCCUGGAUUCAGCUCCCGCAGUAACUACAGAGCUCUCCGUCUGCAGGGGCCUGGAGGCUCCGGGCAGGG